CUCGGCAGCCAUGUUAGGAGUGUUGGGACGAUUGCGCGGAGCCGGGCUGUGGCUUUAGGGAGCGCGGGAGCCGAGUGGUGGUGCAGUGGGGACGGUUUCGGACCCUCGUUGGUUUUUCUUAUAGGAAUGAUUUGCAAAAGGGUCCAAAGAAAUCAAUGUUGGAAGGUAGCCAAGCUGGAAAGGGACGGUCUGUUGGCCCCGCAGUUAAGAAGACAAGGAGAGGCCUAAAAGAGCAACGCACCGGUUUAAAACGACGUCUUUAUACCUGCCAGAGAAAACAGGGAGAUGUUGAAAGGGGAUGUUGAUGAUGGGCCUGUUGACGGCUGGCCAUCGGUUCCGAAGUAACACGGGUUCUUGGAUAAACCUAGAGUAGUCUGUCUACACUAUGGAAAGAUGGGAAAUUUCUUUACCUCCUGAGGGUGUCUGAAGGGUUAAAAAUGCUGAUAUUGUGCUGUUUUUCUCCCUCCCUUUUGCACAUUAUUCUGAAAACAAAAUUGCUUUGGAUCAGUAAGGGUGUGCACUUCACCUGUUAGGAGUUAAUAAAAUUAUAGCUGAUAAAUGGAUUCUCCUAUCAAAGAAAGGCUAAAGAGAGUGAUUACAAAUGACAAAAACAUGGUAGAAGCAGUCUCAGAUAUAUGCCGAUAACUGCUAAACCAGUUUUAUCAAGAAUGAUCUUAUAUGUCAUGUUUUAGGGAACAAGUCAUUUACAAGAUAAAUGGCUUUGUUUCGUUUUUAAACAUAGGUAAUAUGUAUUGGUUUCAUUUAUCCGGGAAUACAACAAUGGGGAGGGCUCAUGCAAAUAUUUCUGUUGUUUAGAAAUACCUUCUUUGUGAGUAUUGGUGGUAAGUAUAGGAGAAGGAACAAAAUGUUUACUAUUUUCUUUCUGACCUUCAAUAUAAUUAUAGAACUGUUUUAAGCUUAAUAGAAAUAAAAUAGACUGGCCAGGUUUACAUUUAGGCCUGGUUUCAGACUCUUAAAUUAUUUUUAGGGGUUGGUGAUUCAGAGAUGUUCUUGUGUCUUAUACAAACUUAUAGUGAAUAUUGUUCAUUUUGUAAGAUAUUUCUUUAUAUAAGCACUAACCUCCUCAGUUUGAGUUAGUAUGGAAGACAGAUUUGUGGGAGGUAAAAAACCAGCGGAUUUCUCAAAUCUUGUAUGUGAGAAAUGAGACCUGUGUAAUGUAGUGAUUGCUAUAAUUUAUCAUGUGUC